GGGUUGUGAGGUUAAGCGACUAAGCGUACACGGUGGAUGCCCUGGCAGUCAGAGGCGAUGAAGGACGUGCUAAUCUGCGAUAAGCGCCGGUAAGGUGAUAUGAACCGUUAUAACCGGCGAUUUCCGAAUGGGGAAACCCAGUGUGACUCGUCACACUAUCAUUAACUGAAUCCAUAGGUUAAUGAGGCGAACCGGGGGAACUGAAACAUCUAAGUACCCCGAGGAAAAGAAAUCAACCGAGAUUCCCCCAGUAGCGGCGAGCGAACGGGGAGGAGCCCAGAGCCUGAAUCAGCAUGUGUGUUAGUGGAAGCGUCUGGAAAGGCGCGCGAUACAGGGUGACAGCCCCGUACACAAAAGCGCACAUGCUGUGAGCUCGAUGAGUAGGGCGGGACACGUGGUAUCCUGUCUGAAUAUGGGGGGACCAUCCUCCAAGGCUAAAUACUCCUGACUGACCGAUAGUGAACCAGUACCGUGAGGGAAAGGCGAAAAGAACCCCGGCGAGGGGAGUGAAAAAGAACCUGAAACCGUGUACGUACAAGCAGUGGGAGCCCCACCACUAAGCCAGUGGUGAACUCCACAUACGCAUCCUUUGCUGAGGAUACGGUUAACGGAGCGAAAGCGACGUUCAACCUCAAAAGAAGCAGAGGGGGCUUAGUGGUGGGGUGACUGCGUACCUUUUGUAUAAUGGGUCAGCGACUUAUAUUCUGUAGCAAGGUUAACCGAAUAGGGGAGCCGGAGGGAAACCGAGUCUUAAUUGGGCGUUAAGUUGCAGGGUAUAGACCCGAAACCCGGUGAUCUAGCCAUGGGCAGGUUGAAGGUUGGGUAACACUAACUGGAGGACCGAACCGACUAAUGUUGAAAAAUUAGCGGAUGACCUGUGGCUGGGGGUGAAAGGCCAAUCAAACCGGGAGAUAGCUGGUUCUCCCCGAAAGCUAUUUAGGUAGCGCCUCGUGAAUUCAUCUCCGGGGGUAGAGCACUGUUUCGGCUAGGGGGCCAUCCCGGCUUACCAACCCGAUGCAAACUGCGAAUACCGGAGAAUGUUAUCACGGGAGACACACGGCGGGUGCUAACGUCCGUCGUGAAGAGGGAAACAACCCAGACCGCCAGCUAAGGUCCCAAAGUCAUGGUUAAGUGGGAAACGAUGUGGGAAGGCCCAGACAGCCAGGAUGUUGGCUUAGAAGCAGCCAUCAUUUAAAGAAAGCGUAAUAGCUCACUGGUCGAGUCGGCCUGCGCGGAAGAUGUAACGGGGCUAAACCAUGCACCGAAGCUGCGGCAGCGACGCUGAUGCGUUGUUGGGUAGGGGAGCGUUCUGUAAGCCUGCGAAGGUGGCCUGUGAGGGUUGCUGGAGGUAUCAGAAGUGCGAAUGCUGACAUAAGUAACGAUAAAGCGGGUGAAAAGCCCGCUCGCCGGAAGACCAAGGGUUCCUGUCCAACGUUAAUCGGGGCAGGGUGAGUCGACCCCUAAGGCGAGGCCGAAAGGCGUAGUCGAUGGGAAACGGGUUAAUAUUCCCGUACUUGGUGUUACUGCGAAGGGGGGACGGAGAAGGCUAUGUUGGCCGGGCGACGGUUGUCCCGGUUUAAGCGUGUAGGUGUGUGUUCCAGGUAAAUCCGGUUCACUUUAACACUGAGGCGUGAUGACGAGGCACUACGGUGCUGAAGCAACAAAUGCCCUGCUUCCAGGAAAAGCCUCUAAGCAUCAGGUAACAUCAAAUCGUACCCCAAACCGACACAGGUGGUCAGGUAGAGAAUACCAAGGCGCUUGAGAGAACUCGGGUGAAGGAACUAGGCAAAAUGGUGCCGUAACUUCGGGAGAAGGCACGCUGACACGUAGGUGAAGUGAUUUACUCAUGGAGCUGAAGUCAGUCGAAGAUACCAGCUGGCUGCAACUGUUUAUUAAAAACACAGCACUGUGCAAACACGAAAGUGGACGUAUACGGUGUGACGCCUGCCCGGUGCCGGAAGGUUAAUUGAUGGGGUCAGCGCAAGCGAAGCUCCUGAUCGAAGCCCCGGUAAACGGCGGCCGUAACUAUAACGGUCCUAAGGUAGCGAAAUUCCUUGUCGGGUAAGUUCCGACCUGCACGAAUGGCGUAAUGAUGGCCAGGCUGUCUCCACCCGAGACUCAGUGAAAUUGAACUCGCUGUGAAGAUGCAGUGUACCCGCGGCAAGACGGAAAGACCCCGUGAACCUUUACUAUAGCUUGACACUGAACAUUGAGCCUUGAUGUGUAGGAUAGGUGGGAGGCUUUGAAGUGUGGACGCCAGUCUGCAUGGAGCCGACCUUGAAAUACCACCCUUUAAUGUUUGAUGUUCUAACGUGGACCCGUGAUCCGGGUUGCGGACAGUGUCUGGUGGGUAGUUUGACUGGGGCGGUCUCCUCCUAAAGAGUAACGGAGGAGCACGAAGGUUGGCUAAUCCUGGUCGGACAUCAGGAGGUUAGUGCAAUGGCAUAAGCCAGCUUGACUGCGAGCGUGACGGCGCGAGCAGGUGCGAAAGCAGGUCAUAGUGAUCCGGUGGUUCUGAAUGGAAGGGCCAUCGCUCAACGGAUAAAAGGUACUCCGGGGAUAACAGGCUGAUACCGCCCAAGAGUUCAUAUCGACGGCGGUGUUUGGCACCUCGAUGUCGGCUCAUCACAUCCUGGGGCUGAAGUAGGUCCCAAGGGUAUGGCUGUUCGCCAUUUAAAGUGGUACGCGAGCUGGGUUUAGAACGUCGUGAGACAGUUCGGUCCCUAUCUGCCGUGGGCGCUGGAGAACUGAGGGGGGCUGCUCCUAGUACGAGAGGACCGGAGUGGACGCAUCACUGGUGUUCGGGUUGUCAUGCCAAUGGCACUGCCCGGUAGCUAAAUGCGGAAGAGAUAAGUGCUGAAAGCAUCUAAGCACGAAACUUGCCCCGAGAUGAGUUCUCCCUGAGACUUUAGGUCUCCUGAAGGAACGUUGAAGACGACGACGUUGAUAGGCCGGGUGUGUAAGCGCAGCGAUGCGUUGAGCUAACCGGUACUAAUGAACCGUGAGGCUUAACCUUACAACGCCGAAG
rnacentral:rRNA from 1 species